GCGAAAACUUUACAAUGCUGGCAACAGCGAUAAGGGAACCUCGAGUGCCAGGUUACAAAUCUGGCUGUCGAGAUGCCUAAAAAGCAUUUCAUAGCAAGGGCCGGGCAAGACCGGUGCCAGCCGCCGCGGUAACACCGGCGGCUCGAGUGGUAACCGUUAUUAUUGGGUCUAAAGGGUCUGUAGCCGGCCGGAUAAGUCUCUUGAGAAAUCUGGCAGCUUAACUGUCAGGCUUUCAGGAGAGACUGUCUGGCUCGAGGCCGGGAGGGGUGAGAGGUACUUCAGGGGUAGGGGUGAAAUCUUGUAAUCCUUGAAGGACCACCAGUGGCGAAGGCGUCUCACCAGAACGGACCUGACGGCAAGGGACGAAAGCUAGGGGCACGAACC
rnacentral:rRNA from 1 species